rnacentral:rRNA from 1 species
CCUGCCUUGAGGAGGGGGACAACCGUGGGAAACCACGGCUAAUUACCCCGGAUGUCUAAACUGUUAGAGGGUUUAGACUAAAACUUCGGUGCCUCAAGAGGGGCCUGCGGGCUAUCAGCUUGUUGGUGGGGUAAUGGCCUACCAAGGCUAAGACGGCUAGGGGGCGUGAGAGCGCGACCCCCCACAAUGGAACUGAGACACGGUCCAUACUCCUACGGGAGGCAGCAGUGAGGAAUAUUGCGCAAUGGGGGAAACCCUGACGCAGCAACGCCGCGUGAACGAUGAAGGCCUUCGGGUCGUAAAGUUCUUUUCUAAGGGAAGAUAGUGACGGUACCUUAGGAAUAAGUCCCGGCUAACUACGUGCCAGCAGCCGCGGUAAAACGUAAGGGGCGAGCGUUAUCCGGAUUUAUUGGGCGUAAAGCGCACGUAGGUGGCGCUGUAAGUUAGACGUGAAAGCUCUCGGCUCAACUGAGAGAGGUCGUUUAAAACUGCAGUGCUUGAGGUUAGAAGAGGAGAGCAGAAUUCCCGGUGUAGUGGUGGAAUGCGUAGAUAUCGGGAGGAAUACCAGUGGCGAAGGCGGCUCUCUAGUCUACACCUGACACUGAGGUGCGAAAGCGUGGGUAGCGAACGGGAUUAGAUACCCCGGUAGUCCACGCUGUAAACGAUGGAUACUAGGUGUAGGGGGUCAUUUAAGCCCUCUGUGCCGAA